rnacentral:rRNA from 1 species
CAGUCGAGCGGAGAUGAGGUGCUUGCACCUUAUCUUAGCGGCGGACGGGUGAGUAAUGCUUAGGAAUCUGCCAUUUAGUGGGGGACAACAUUCCGAAAGGAAUGCUAAUACCGCAUACGUCCUACGGGAGAAAGCAGGGGAUCUUCGGACCUUGCGCUAAAUGAUGAGCCUAAGUCGGAUUAGCUAGUUGGUGGGGUAAAGGCCUACCAAGGCGACGAUCUGUAGCGGGUCUGAGAGGAUGAUCCGCCACACUGGGACUGAGACACGGCCCAGACUCCUACGGGAGGCAGCAGUGGGGAAUAUUGGACAAUGGGCGGAAGCCUGAUCCAGCCAUGCCGCGUGUGUGAAGAAGGCCUUUUGGUUGUAAAGCACUUUAAGCGAGGAGGAGGCUACUAGUAUUAAUACUACUGGAUAGUGGACGUUACUCGCAGAAUAAGCACCGGCUAACUCUGUGCCAGCAGCCGCGGUAAUACAGAGGGUGCGAGCGUUAAUCGGAUUUACUGGGCGUAAAGCGUGCGUAGGCGGCUGAUUAAGUCGGAUGUGAAAUCCCUGAGCUUAACUUAGGAAUUGCAUUCGAUACUGGUCAGCUAGAGUAUGGGAGAGGAUGGUAGAAUUCCAGGUGUAGCGGUGAAAUGCGUAGAGAUCUGGAGGAAUACCGAUGGCGAAGGCAGCCAUCUGGCCUAAUACUGACGCUGAGGUACGAAAGCAUGGGGAGCAAACAGGAUUAGAUACCCUGGUAGUCCAU